AAUGAACGUUGGCGGCGUGGAUUAGGCAUGCAAGUCGAGCGAGAAACUUUGGAUUGAAGCUUCGGCAGAGUUUUCAAGGUGGAAAGCGGCGAAAGGGAGAGUAACGCGUGGAAACGUACCCUCAGGUCUGGGAUAGCUGCGGGAAACUGCAGGUAAUACCGGAUAACGUCUUCGGACCAAAGGUGAGAUUCCGCCUGAGGAGCGGUCCGCGUCCUAUUAGCUUGUUGGUGGGGUAAAGGCCUACCAAGGCAAUGAUGGGUACCGGGUGUGAGAGCAUGGCCCGGCUCACUGGGACUGAGACACUGCCCAGACACCUACGGGUGGCUGCAGUCGAGAAUCUUCCGCAAUGGGCGAAAGCCUGACGGAGCGACGCCGCGUGUGGGAUGAAGGCCUUCGGGUUGUAAACCGCUGUCAGAGGGGAGUAAGUGAAGGGGGUCAUCCCCUGGAUCUGAACUAUCCUCAGAGGAAGGACGGGCUAAGUUCGUG
rnacentral:rRNA from 1 species